rnacentral:tRNA from 1 species
GGGCGGUUAACUCAGUCUGGGAGAGUGCUACCUUCACACGGUAGAAGUCACUGGUUCAAACCCAGUACCGCCCA